GGUCAUGUUAAAAUAGUACCUCUUGCUUAUCAGAAGUUGGAAAUUUGCUUAUAUAAACUCUUAAUCUUGUAUUGAGGAAGACACUGUUUUUAGGAUAAUCCAUGAAUAAAAAAUAAUGUUUUUAUGUGCUUAAGGACAGAAAGAAUAAGGUAAUUCUAUUUAUGCAUUUUUAUAUAUGAUUUAAUAGAAGAAGGAACAAACCUUUAAUUUGGCUUGAUUAGGCUUUUGACUAAUAUAAGAUUUAUCAUGUGCAUUUCAGUCAAGGGUAAUGUUCUUGAAGUC
rnacentral:misc_RNA from 1 species